CCAUCCCUCUAUUUAAUUACCUAGCUAUUCUUCUAAAACUAUCCAUUCUCAUCCUCACUAUACCUCUAAUAACCUUGAGCUUCUGCUCCCUUCAUCUUAUAAUAUCAGUAGAGAAAACAUGUCCUCAACCGCCUUCAAAGUGUUGGCAAUGACUAUUAUUUUAGCAUUGGUGUUGCUCGUGUCCACUGGUGCAAUAACUUAUGAUGCAACACCAACUUUCAAACUCGGACGAAGACUUUUUGAUGAAUAUCCGCCUGGAUAUCCAACUUCUGGAGGUGGAGGCUACCAGCCCCCAACGUAACGCACCCAUAAUUGCUGAGAGAGGAUAGAAGAGUAUCAUCAGCUGAUUCCUAAACAAUUGGAGGCAAAAGAUCUAUGUUACCUACUAUUAUUGUCUAUUUCUUUUAAUAAUUGAUAAUUCUAUGUUAUCUACUAUUUGAAGACAAGUCAUCAGAUAUUGUAUAUGCAUGCUAAUGCUAUUCUAUGUUUGAUGCCUAAAUUAAAUAAGAUAUCAUUAGGGUCUCUGAUCAUAGUGUGCAAAAAAUAUGUUUGAAUAAGAUGUACUCAUACGUAAGGACUGUGGCACUGUAUUUACUUGAAUAUUAAAGUGAAUCAAUAAAAAGUUAAAUAAGAUGUGAAAUUUUACGAUUAA